rnacentral:rRNA from 1 species
GAGUGGCGCACGGGUGCGUAACGCGUGGGAACCUACCUCGUAGUUCGGAAUAACUCAGGGAAACUUGGGCUAAUACCGAAUGCCUCCUCCGGGAGAAAGAUUUAUCGCUACGAGAUGGGCCCGCGUCAGAUUAGGUAGUUGGUAGGGUAAUGGCCUACCAAGCCGACGAUCUGUAGCUGGUCUGAGAGGAUGACCAGCCACACUGGGACUGAGACACGGCCCAGACUCC